rnacentral:rRNA from 1 species
GAUGAACGCUGGCGGCGUGCCUAAUACAUGCAAGUCGAGCGAACAGAUGAGGAGCUUGCUCCUCUGACGUUAGCGGCGGACGGGUGAGUAACACGUGGAUAACCUACCUAUAAGACUGGGAUAACUUCGGGAAACCGGAGCUAAUACCGGAUAAUAUAUUGAACCGCAUGGUUCAAUAGUGAAAGACGGUUUUGCUGUCACUUAUAGAUGGAUCCGCGCCGCAUUAGCUAGUUGGUAAGGUAACGGCUUACCAAGGCAACGAUGCGUAGCCGACCUGAGAGGGUGAUCGGCCACACUGGAACUGAGACACGGUCCAGACUCCUACGGGAGGCAGCAGUAGGGAAUCUUCCGCAAUGGGCGAAAGCCUGACGGAGCAACGCCGCGUGAGUGAUGAAGGUCUUCGGAUCGUAAAACUCUGUUAUUAGGGAAGAACAAAUGUGUAAGUAACUGUGCACGUCUUGACGGUACCUAAUCAGAAAGCCACGGCUAACUCCGUG